AUAUCUCAACAUAAUCAAGUUUAUUCUUGUGUUAUGCUUGGAUGAUGAAGGCUGCUGGUGUGAUUAUCAGCUCCUUUUAAAUUUAUUAGUGGAACUAUGAAGGACCAGCCUCAGUUUGAUAAUCCUAUCUAUGCUGUCGCUGGGAAUUGUUUGAUCUGCUUCUAAUUGUCCUAUUGGACUGUCUCAUUUGAGGCAUAUUGACAU
rnacentral:misc_RNA from 1 species